rnacentral:rRNA from 1 species
GUGGAUUAGAUACCCUGGUAGUCCACGCCCUAAACGAUGUCUACUAGUUGUCGGGUCUUAAUUGACUUGGUAACGCAGCUAACGCGUGAAGUAGACCGCCUGGGGAGUACGGUCGCAAGAUUAAAACUCAAAGGAAUUGACGGGGACCCGCACAAGCGGUGGAUGAUGUGGAUUAAUUCGAUGCAACGCGAAAAACCUUACCUACCCUUGACAUGGCAGGAAUCCUGGAGAGAUCUGGGAGUGCUCGAAAGAGAACCUGCACACAGGUGCUGCACGGCCGUCGUCAACU